AUGCCAUGGUGUGGACAUGCUUGAAUGUACUCCUAGAGACGUUUCCAGAUUUCCGGGAUACUCUCUUCCGGCAAUUGUUGAAUUCCGGUGAUCCUAUUUCGGAGGGC